rnacentral:lncRNA from 1 species
GUUUUAACUGUAGUCAUUUAAGUAGUUUGUUUGGUUUAUUUGUUGACUGACAGCUCUUUUUUCCUCCCCUUGUCUGCAGUGGAAAUCAGCCUUUGUGUGAAGGAUGAGCUGCAGGUGUGCGUGUGCUGCUGUUUGCUCCUGUGACAUGGUUGCUGCAUGCUGAUUGGCUGGCUGAGGACUAUUCAAACCACCUGAUGCCAUCCUCCAGCCCCCUUCUGGCCCUUGCCAUUUCCAACCACCAGUCCAUGCAGUCAAUGUGAAGUAUUUUUGCUUAGCCUUGGGAGUACAGAGAUAAUGUAAUGGUGAAUAUUUUACUUUAGGAUAUAGUGGCAGAUGUAGGAGGGAGAAGCCAUUUUGUUUUCUAUCUUGUUUUCUCCUGUUUCUUGGUUAGGAGGUUAUCUGUCAUCUUUUGUUCUACAUUCAUUAUAUUAAAGGUAGGUUAGGGUCCUUGAUUACACUGUUUUGUUUGUUGUGUUGGCAUCGCUCUUCUCUGAAGUGAAUAAAAACUGCCUUUUCUGUGAAUCUAAAAA